AACCAGCACCUCAAGUGGUCAGGAUGAUUAUUGGGCCUAAAGCAUCCGUAGCCUGUUUUGCAAGUCUCCGGUUAAAUCCAUCAACUCGAGUGAUGGGCUGCCGAAGAUCCUGCAUAACUAGGGAAUGGGAGAGGUAGACGGUACUCGAUAGGAAGGGGUAAAAUCCUUUGAUCUAUUGAUGACCACCCGUGGCGAAGGCGGUCUACCAGAACAUAUUCGACGGUGAGGGAUGAAAGCUGGGGGAGCAAACCAG
rnacentral:rRNA from 1 species